UUUCCUACGGGGCGCAGCAGUGAGGAAUAUUGGUCAAUGGACGAGAGUCUGAACCAGCCAAGUAGCGUGAGGGAAGACGGUCUUCGGAUUGUAAACCUCUGUCUUUGGGGAAGAAAAUGACGGUACCCAAAGAGGAAGCUCCGGCUAACUACGUGCCAGCAGCCGCGGUAAUACGUAGGGAGCGAGCGUUGUCCGGAAUUACUGGGUGUAAAGGGAGCGUAGGCGGGCGAGAAAGUUGAAUGUUAAAUCUACCGGCUUAACUGGUAGCUGCGUUCAAAACUUCUUGUCUUGAGUGAAGUAGAGGC
rnacentral:rRNA from 1 species